GACGAAGGGGGCUAGCGUUGUUCGGAAUUACUGGGCGUAAAGCGCACGUAGGCGGUCUUUUAAGUCGGGGUGAAAUCCUGGAGCUCAACUCCAGAACUGCCUUCGAUACUGGAAGACUUGAGUCCGGGAGAGGUGAGUGGAACUGCGAGUGUAGAGGUGAAAUUCGUAGAUAUUCGCAAGAACACCAGUGGCGAAAGGCGGCUCACUGGCCCGGUACUGACGCUGAGGUGCGAAAGCGUGGGGAGCAAACAGG
rnacentral:rRNA from 1 species